GAAUUCACUAGUGAUUCAGGCCUAACACAUGCAAGUCGAACGCCCAGCAAUGGGGGUGGCAGACGGGUGAGGAACACGUGGGAACGUACCUUUUGGUUCGGAAUAACUCAGGGAAACUUGUGCUAAUACCGGAUAAGCCCUUCGGGGGAAAGAUUUAUCGCCAAAAGAUCGGCCCGCGUCUGAUUAGCUAGUUGGUGAGGUAACGGCUCACCAAGGCGACGAUCAGUAGCUGGUCUGAGAGGAUGAUCAGCCACACUGGGACUGAGACACGGCCCAGACUCCUACGGGAGGCAGCAGUGGGGAAUAUUGGACAAUGGGCGCAAGCCUGAUCCAGCCAUGCCGCGUGAGUGAAGAGGGUCUUCGGAUUGUAAAGCUCUUUUGGCGGGGACGAUAAUG
rnacentral:rRNA from 1 species